rnacentral:ncRNA from 2 species
AAAGUUGAUAAAUUUGUUGGUUAAAGUAUAAAGAUACUUUAUCAAAAUGGAAUCAGGUGAAAAUCCUGAGCUGUCCCGCAGCCGUAAAAGAGAGUUGAAGCAAUAUGUCACUGGGAAACUGGGAAGGCGCUGAUACGAUGAACUUGAGCCGGAAUACAUGCCAACAUCUUAGAAUACAC